rnacentral:lncRNA from 1 species
GGAGAGAGAGGGAGGAUGGUGAGAGAGAUAGAGAGAAAUGACAUGAAAACGAGAGAUAAAUUGUUAUCUUAUUUUUUAUGGGCAGUCCAUUAACUUACGAGUACAUUUCCCUAUGGACUAUUCUCAUAAUAAUUUUGCUAGUUUUAUUUGAGUAUUUUAGUCUCUAAGAACUGCUUUUGGAGUAUAUUAUGGAUGUCCUUACAUGAUGCAUUUCACUAGAUUGUUUAACUCCCAAGAUAAUGAUGAUUAUAUGACAUGUAGUAUUAGCAAAAAUACAGUAAAAUUGCGCUGGAAUGCCAUACAUGUUGCUUGGACUUUUCCGUCCCCUUGCAGCCGGGAUGCAUCGCCUGAUACGGAUCUCUCGGUAGUCGGU